rnacentral:rRNA from 1 species
GCUGACGAGUGGCGCACGGGUGAGUAAACUAUAGUUAAUGUACCCCAAAGACUGGGAUAGCCACUGGAAACGGUGAUUAAUACUAGAUACACCUUCUUAUCAUAAGGUAAGAAGGGAAAUGUCUUUUCGCUUUGGGAUCAGACUAUAUCCUAUCAGCUAGUUGGUGAGGUAAUGGCUCACCAAGGCAAUGACGGGUAGCGGUUCUGAGAGGAUGAUCCGCCACACUGGUACUGAGACACGGACCAGACUCCUACGGGAGGCAGCAGUGAGGAAUAUUGCACAAUGGGCGAAAGCCUGAUGCAGCAACGCCGCGUGGAGGAUGACGCAUUUCGGUGUGUAAACUCCUUUUAUAUGUCAAGAAAAUGACGGUAGCAUAUGAAUAAGCACCGGCUAACUCCGUGCCAGCAGCCGCGGUAAUACGGAGGGUGCAAGCGUUACUCGGAAUCACUGGGCGUAAAGGACGCGUAGGCUGUUUAGCAAGUCAGAUGUGAAAUCCAAUGGCUCAACCAUUGAACUGCAUUUGAAACUGCUAGACUAGAGUAUGGGAGGGGGAGAUGGAAUUAGUGGUGUAGGGGUAAAAUCCGUA